UAGAGUUUUGAUCCUGGCUCAGAGCGAACGCUGGCGGCAGGCUUAACACAUGCAAGUCGAGCGGGCCCUUCGGGGUCAGCGGCGGACGGGUGAGUAACGCGUGGGAACGUGCCUUCUGGUUCGGAAUAACCCUGGGAAACUAGGGCUAAUACCGGAUACGCCCUUUUGGGGAAAGGUUUACUGCCGGAAGAUCGGCCCGCGUCUGAUUAGCUAGUUGGUGGGGUAACGGCCUACCAAGGCGACGAUCAGUAGCUGGUCUGAGAGGAUGAUCAGCCACACUGGGACUGAGACACGGCCCAGACUCCUACGGGAGGCAGCAGUGGGGAAUAUUGGACAAUGGGCGCAAGCCUGAUCCAGCCAUGCCGCGUGAGUGAUGAAGGCCUUAGGGUUGUAAAGCUCUUUUAUCCGGGACGAUAAUGACGGUACCGGAGGAAUAAGCCCCGGCUAACUUCGUGCCAGCAGCCGCGGUAAUACGAAGGGGGCUAGCGUUGCUCGGAAUCACUGGGCGUAAAGGGCGCGUAGGCGGCGUUUUAAGUCGGGGGUGAAAGCCUGUGGCUCAACCACAGAAUGGCCUUCGAUACUGGGACGCUUGAGUAUGGUAGAGGUUGGUGGAACUGCGAGUGUAGAGGUGAAAUUCGUGA
rnacentral:rRNA from 1 species